rfam:Camelus ferus unplaced genomic scaffold scaffold568, whole genome shotgun sequence.
GGAGCGUAGAGCUCAGUGGUAGAGUGUAUCCUUAGCCUGCAUAAGGUCCUGGGUUCAAUCCCCAGUACCUCCA